rnacentral:rRNA from 1 species
GACGAACGCUGGCGGCGUGCUUAACACAUGCAAGUCGAACGGAAAGGCCCUGCUUUUGUGGGGUGCUCGAGUGGCGAACGGGUGAGUAACACGUGAGUAACCUGCCCUUGACUUUGGGAUAACUUCAGGAAACUGGGGCUAAUACCGGAUAGGAGCUCCUGCUGCAUGGUGGGGGUUGGAAAGUUUCGGCGGUUGGGGAUGGACUCGCGGCUUAUCAGCUUGUUGGUGGGGUAGUGGCUUACCAAGGCUUUGACGGGUAGCCGGCCUGAGAGGGUGACCGGCGACAUUGGGACUGAGAUACGGCCCAGUCUCCUACGGGAGGCAGAAGUGGGGAAUAUUGCACAAUGGGCGGAAGCCUGAUGCAGCAACGCCGCGUGCGGGAUGACGGCCUUCGGGUUGUAAACCGCUUUCGCCUGUGACGAAGCGUGAGUGACGGUAAUGGGUAAAGAAGCACCGGCUAACUACGUG